UCUACAGUGUGAAGAAGGUACAGCCUCAUCUUAUGAAGUAUGACAAAAGUGCAGAGAAGUUGGUUCAGGAGUUUCUGCUAAGUUUGUGACUCCAGUCUGAGUACUCUGCUAACUGGGAAAAUGAUAAUUUUGUUCAUGACACAGAUUAAGGGAAUAGAGAAGCACUGCUACAAACAGGAAGAGGAUCAGCAAGAUGAUAAGGCCUAUGAAGAGCCAUUUAAACCUGCGCCACACGAUAAAUUUCAUGGUCUUGCAGGGAUUUGUAAACCAAAGGAAGGAAGUAUCUGGCCGGCUGUAUUUUGAAAGAAAAGGACAUCCUUGGUGUUCCAGAUGAUCACACGCAAGAUAUACCUAAGAGAGAAGUUUGGGGCAAGAGAUUUGGAGUGCUUUGUCAAGGCUGCCAGAGGGUUGACCUUUGAAAGAUGUUUUUGUCACUGUCCCUUACCAAAGCACCUUCAAGUUUAAAGAUAGCUGCAGCACCAUGUGUCUCUGAG